GCAAGUCGAACGGAGCUGAGAGGAGCUUGCUUUUCCAGCUUAGUGGCGAACGGGUGAGUAACGCGUGAGUAACCUGCCCUGGAGUGGGGGACAACAGUUGGAAACGACUGCUAAUACCGCAUAAGCCCACGAUCCGGCAUCGGAUUGAGGGAAAAGGAUUUAUUCGCUUCAGGAUGGACUCGCGUCCGAUUAGCUAGUUGGUGAGGUAACGGCCCACCAAGGCGACGAUUGGUAGCCGGACUGAGAGGUUGAGC
rnacentral:rRNA from 1 species